UACGGAGGAUGCGAGCGUUAUCCGGAUUUAUUGGGUUUAAAGGGUGCGCAGGCGGCCUGUUAAGUCAGCGGUAAAAGCCCGGGGCUCAACCCCGGCGAGCCGUUGAAACUGGCGGGCUGGAGUUGGAGAGAAGUACGCGGAAUGCGCGGUGUAGCGGUGAAAUGCAUAGAUAUCACGAAGAACUCCGAUUGCGAAGGCAGCUUACCAGUCUGCGACUGACGCUCAGGCACGAAAGUGUGGGUAUCGAACAGG
rnacentral:rRNA from 1 species